ACUCAGCUGACGAAUCCCGAAUAGGACGAAAAGCGCGUCCUGGAU
rnacentral:hammerhead_ribozyme from 1 species